GCUUCUCUUGACAUCGACCGACGGGUGAGUGAUGCCUACGAAUCUGCCUGGUAGUGGGGGAGAACGUUCCUGAACGGACUCUAGUACCUCCCACGUCCUACCGGAGAAAGCAAGGGAGCUUCGGGCCUUGCUCUAUCUAAUGAACCUACGUCGGAUUAACUAGUUGGUGAGGUAAGGGCUCACCAAGGCGAGCAUCCAUACCUGGUCGGACAGGAAGAUCGAUCACACUGGAACUGACAGACGGUCCGCACUCCUACCGGAGGCAGGCAUGGGGAAUAUUGAACAAUGGGUGAAAGCCUGAUCCAUCCAUGCCUGGUGUGUGAAUAAAGUCUUCCGAUUGUAAAGCACUUUCUUUUGGGAGGAAGGGUUGUAUAUUAAUACUCUGCAAUUUUGACGUUCAUCACAGAAUAAGCACCGGCUAACUCUGUGCCAGCCACCGCCGUAAUACAUACGGUGGGAGCGUUAAUCAAAAUUACUGGCCGUAAAUCGCGCGUACGUGGUUUGUUAGGUUGGAUGUGAAAUCCCCGGGCUCUCACCUGGGAACUGCAUUCAGAACUGACUGACUAGAGUGUGGUAGAGAGGUGGUGGAAUUUCCUGUGUAGCGGUGAAAUGCGUAGAUAUAGGAAGGAACACCAGUUGCGAAGGCGGCCACUUGGAAUAAACAUGACACUGAGGUGCGAAAGCGUGGGGAGCCAACCGGGUUAGAUUCCCUGGUAGUUCCCGCCGUUAACGAUGUUAACUAGCCGUUGGAAGCCUUGAGCUCUUAGUGGCGCAGGUAACGCAUUAAGUUGACCGCCUGGGGAGUACGGCCGCAAGGUUUAAAAUUAAAUGAAUUGACGGGGGCCCGCCCCAGCGGUGGAGCCUGUGGUUUAAUUUGAAGCAACGCGAAGAACCUUACCAGGCCUUGACCUUCAAUGAACUUUUCAGAGAUAGAUUGGUGCCUUUGGGAACAUUACGACCGGUGGUGCCUGGCCGUUGUCAACUUGUGUCUUGAGAUGUUUGGUUAAAUCCCGUAACGAGCGCAACCCUUGUCCUUAGUUACCCACACGUUAUGUUGGGCACUCUAAGGAGACUGCCGGUGACAAACCGGAGGAAGGUGGGGAUGACGUCAAGUCAUCAUGGCCCUUACGGCUUGGGCUACACACGUGCUACAAUGGUCGGUACAAAGGGUUGCCAAGCCGCGAGGUGGAGCUAAUCCCAUAAAACCGGUCGUAGUCCGGAUCGCAGUCUGCAACUCGACUCCGUGAAGUCGGAAUCGCUAGUAAUCGCGAAUCA
rnacentral:rRNA from 2 species